rnacentral:rRNA from 1 species
CUAACGAAACCUAAAGGCGCAAUGAAAGUGAAGGUCCGCCUAGCGCGGACCGAGGGAGGAUGGGUGGUCCCGCGGGACCGCCUCGCACUCCCGGGGCGUCUCGUUCUCAUCGCGAGAAGAGGCGCACCCAGAGCGUACACGCUGGGACCCGAAAGAUGGUGAACUAUGCCUGGUCAGGACGAAGUCAGGGGAAACUCUGAUGGAGGUCCGUAGCGAUUCUGACGUGCAAAUCGAUCGUCGGAACUGGGUAUAGGGGCGAAAGACUAAUCGAACCAUCUAGUAGCUGGUUCCCUCCGAAGUUUCCCUCAGGAUAGCUGGCGCUCGCCUCUCGCGAGUCUCAUUCGGUAAAGCGAAUGAUUAGAGGCAUUGGGGYCGAAACGGCCUCAACCUAUUCUCAAACUUUAAAUGGGUGAGAUCUCCGGCUUGCUUGAACUGUGAAGCCGCGAGAUAUCGGAUCAGAGUGCCAAGUGGGCCACUUUUGGUAAGCAGAACUGGCGCUGUGGGAUGAACCAAACGCCGAGUUAAAGCGCCUAAAUCGACGCUUAUGGGAUACCAUGAAA